UAAUAUUUUACCUCAAACCUCAAUAUAUUA
rnacentral:piRNA from 1 species